UACGAAGGGUGCAAGCGUUACUCGGAAUUACUGGCGUAAAGCGUGCGUAGGCGGUUUGUUAAGUCUGUCGUGAAAGCCCCGGGCUUAACCCGGGAAUGGCAUUGGAUACUGCUGAUUCUGGAGGAUCGGAGGGGGGACUGGAAUUCUUGGUGUAGCAAGUGGAAAUGCGUAGAUAUCAAGAGGAACACCAGUGGCGAAAGGCGAGUCCCUGGACGAAA
rnacentral:rRNA from 1 species